rnacentral:tRNA from 1 species
GCUUUUCCAGCUCUGUGUAUUGAGCACCACCUUGACAUGGUGGGGGUCGUUGGUUCGAAUCCAAUCGCGCGUACCA